rnacentral:rRNA from 1 species
UACGUAGGGUGCAAGCGUUGUCCGGAUUUAUUGGGCGUAAAGGGCUCGUAGGUGGCCAACUAAGUCAGACGUGAAAUCCCUCGGCUUAACCGGGGAACUGCGUCUGAUACUGGAUGGCUUGAGUUCGGGAGAGGUGAGUGGAACUGCGAGUGUAGAGGUGAAAUUCGUAGAUAUUCGCAAGAACACCAGUGGCGAAGGCGGCUCACUGGCCCGAUACUGACGCUGAGGUGCGAAAGCGUGGGGAGCAAACAGG